rnacentral:rRNA from 1 species
CGUCCUACGGGGGGCUGCAGUCGGGAAUUUUGCUCAAUGGGGGAAACCCUGAAGCAGCAACGCCGCGUGAGGGAUGAAGGCCUUCGGGUUGUAAACCUCUUUUGUCAGGGAAGAUGAUGACGGUACCUGGCGAAUAAGCCACGGCUAACUACGUGCCAGCAGCCGCGGUAAUACGUAGGUGGCAAGCGUUGUCCGGAUUUACUGGGCGUAAAGAGCGCGCAGGCGGUCGGGUAAGUCGAAUGUGAAAGCCCCCGGCUCAACUGGGGAGGGUCAUUCGAUACUGUCCGACUCGAAGGCAGGAGAGGGAAGCGGAAUUCCGGGUGUAGUGGUGAAAUGCGUAGAUAUCCGGAGGAACACCAGUGGCGAAGGCGGCUUUCUGGCCUGUUCUUGACGCUGAGGCGCGAAAGCUAGGGGAGCAAACGGGAUUAGAUACCCCAGUAGUCC